rnacentral:tRNA from 1 species
GCCAGCGUGGCUCAGUGGUUGAGCAUCAGCCUAUGACCAGGGAGGUCCCAGGUUCGAUUCCUGGUCAGGGCA